rnacentral:rRNA from 1 species
UACGUAGGUGACAAGCGUUGUCCGGAUUUACUGGGCGUAAAGAGCGCGCAGGCGGUCGAUCAAGUCGAGUGUGAAAGCCCCCGGCUCAACUGGGGAGGGUCAUUCGAUACUGAUCGACUCGAAGGCAGGAGAGGGUAGUGGAAUUCCCGGUGUAGUGGUGAAAUGCGUAGAUAUCAAGAGGAACACCUGAGGUGAAGACGGGUUGCUGGGCCAACACUGACGCUGAGGCGCGAAAGCCAGGGGAGCGAACGGG